UCAAUAAAGGAGAGGGAAAACGCCAAAAAGCAUAAUACCACCUCUUUAACAACAGUAACUAAGGGGGGCGGGGCUUAGCGAAGGGUCAAUUGUGCUGAUGUAGCUAAAAAGUUUAGAAAAACAUGAAGGUACUGAUUGGGAAAUAUAAACUUUAUCAAAAGUAAUCAGAUGCACACAACACAUCCUGCCUGUGCUGUUAAGCAACAUAUCUUACCACUGUAAUAAUCCUAUAAUGUUCAAGUCGUUCUCACUGAGACAGAGUACAACUUAUUUGGGAGGUCACAAGACUGAAAUACGACACCCAUGAAGACUACACCAAGACAGCAUUAAAUGGUUAACUCUCUACUCAACUUGCUUGUGUAAGCAAAGCUGUCGACACAAUGGUGUUUUGGGAGAGUGGUAUAUGAAAACAACGCCUGCUGCCGGGCCAUGGGAAACAGGGAGACCCAAACAUGCCGCUGAGUCAGAGAUAGACUGCUGCACACGCAAACAAUGUUGUUUCAGGUGAAACGGAGGACAACAGUUAGCAGUGCAGAAGCAGCUGUUGGGAGGUGGCUGCCUCUGAGUGGAGCUAAUCUGUCUGAUUUAUCACUUGGAAACUGGAAUUUGAACUGGACAAGCAGAUGUUUUGGCUAGCCAUAAAACCACACCACACAGCGGUGGGUUGACAGUCUACAGGACCAACCCAAUGCACAACAGGAGCAAGAUUUACUUUUCCUGUGAUACAGAUCAGGGAAUGAAAGCCAACGGUAAGGGACUAUUGAAAAAUAGUUAGGAGGGAAGGCAGUGUGAAAAUGGAGAGGGUAUUAAAAAUGUUAUUUUGGCUGAAAGUGGGGGUAGUAUUGCAUUUAAGGUAGGUAAGUAAAAAAAAAUCAUUCUACAAAUAAUUUUUUUUAAAAUUUAAUUUUAGCAUUUGUUUGCAAUAUAGCUGAU